rfam:Halococcus hamelinensis 100A6 contig_37, whole genome shotgun sequence.
GCCGAAGUAGCUCAGCUUGGCCAGAGCAGCUCCCUUGUAAGGAGCUUGUCGGGGGUUCAAAUCUCCCCUUCGGCU